rnacentral:rRNA from 1 species
UACGUAGGGUGCGAGCGUUAAUCGGAAUUACUGGGCGUAAAGGGCUCGUAGGCGGCCAACUAAGUCAGACGUGAAAUCCCUCGGCUUAACCGGGGAACUGCAUCUGAUACUGGAUGGCUUGAGAUUGGGAGAGGGAUGCGGAAUUCCAGGUGUAGCGGUGAAAUGCGUAGAUAUCUGGAGGAACACCGGUGGCGAAAGCGGCGAGCUGGAUCACUACUGACGCUGAGGAACGAAAGCUAGGGGAGCAAACAGG